AACCUGCCCUGCACUGGGGAAUAAUCAUUGGAAACGAUGACUAAUACCGCAUACGGUUCCCGGGAGGCAUCUUCCGGGAAAGAAAGGAUUUAUUCGGUGCAGGAUGGGCCCGCAUCUGAUUAGCUAGUUGGUGAGAUAACAGCUCACCAAGGCGACGAUCAGUAGCCGACCUGAGAGGGUGACCGGCCACAUUGGGACUGAGACACGGCCCAAACUCCUACGGGAGGCAGCAGUGGGGAAUAUUGCACAAUGGGCGAAAGCCUGAUGCAGCAACGCCGCGUGAAGGAAGAAGGGUUUCGGCUCGUAAACUUCUAUCAACAGGGACGAAAGAAAUGACGGUACCUGAAUAAGAAGCCUCGGCUAACUACGUGCCAGCAGCCGCGGUAAUACGUAGGGGGCAAGCGUUAUCCGGAAUUACUGGGUGUAAAGGGUGAGUAGGCGGCAUGGUAAGCCAGAUGUGAAAGCCUUGGGCUUAACCCAAGGAUUGCAUUUGGAACUAUCAAGCUAGAGUACAGGAGAGGAAAGCGGAAUUCCUAGUGUAGCGGUGAAAUGCGUAGAUAUUAGGAAGAACACCAGUGGCGAAGGCGGCUUUCUGGACUGAAACUGACGCUGAGGCACGAAAGCGUGGGGAGCGAACAGGAUUAGAUACCCUGGUAGUCCACGCCGUAAACGAUGAGUGCUAGGUGU
rnacentral:rRNA from 1 species